UUUGCCUUUAGUUACUUUCCGA
rnacentral:miRNA from 1 species